rnacentral:rRNA from 1 species
UACGGAGGGUGCGAGCGUUGUUCGGAAUCACUGGGCGUAAAGGGCGUGUAGGCGGUUCGCUAAGUCUGAUGUGAAAGCCCGGGGCUCACCCCCGGAAGUGCAUUGGAAACUGGCGAACUCGAGUCCCGGAGAGGAAGGUGGAAUUCCUGGUGUAGCGGUGAAAUGCGUAGAUAUCAGGAGGAACACCGGUGGCGAAGGCGGCCUUCUGGACGGUGACUGACGCUGAGGCGCGAAAGCCAGGGGAGCAAACGGG